UGGGGAAUCUUGCACAAUGGGCGAAAGCCUGAUGCAGCAACGCCGCGUGCGGGAAGACAGCCCUAGGGUUGUAAACCGCUUUCAGCAGGGAAGAAACUGACGGUACCUGCAGAAGAAGAUGCGGCCAACUACGUGCCAGCAGCCGCGGUGACACGUAGGCAUCAAGCGUUAUCCGGAUUUAUUGGGCGUAAAGAGCUCGUAGGCGGUUCGGUAAGUCGGGUGUGAAAACUCUGGGCUCAACCCAGAGAGGCCACUCGAUACUGCUGUGACUAGAGUGCGGUAGGGGAGCGGGGAAUUCCUGGUGUAGCGGUGAAAUGCGCAGAUAUCAGGAGGAACACCAGUGGCGAAGGCGCCGCUCUGGGCCGUAACUGACGCUGAGGAGCGAAAGCAUGGGUAGCAAACAGGAUUAGAUACCCUGGUAGUCCAUGCCGUAAACGUUGGGCACUAGGUGUGGGUCUCAACCGAACGAGAUCCGCGCCGUCGCUAACGCAUUAAGUGCCCGCCUGGGAGUACGGUCGCAA
rnacentral:rRNA from 1 species